CUUGAAAUACCACCCUUUAAUGUUUGAUGUUCUAACGUUGACCCGUAAUCCGGGUUGCGGACAGUGUCUGGUGGGUAGUUUGACUGGGGCGGUCUCCUCCUAAAGAGUAACGGAGGAGCACGAAGGUUGGCUAAUCCUGGUCGGACAUCAGGAGGUUAGUGCAAUGGCAUAAGCCAGCUUGACUGCGAGCGUGACGGCGCGAGCAGGUGCGAAAGCAGGUCAUAGUGAUCCGGUGGUUCUGAAUGGAAGGGCCAUCGCUCAACGGAUAAAAGGUACUCCGGGGAUAACAGGCUGAUACCGCCCAAGAGUUCAUAUCGACGGCGGUGUUUGGCACCUCGAUGUCGGCUCAUCACAUCCUGGGGCUGAAGUAGGUCCCAAGGGUAUGGCUGUUCGCCAUUUAAAGUGGUACGCGAGCUGGGUUUAGAACGUCGUGAGACAG
rnacentral:rRNA from 1 species